ensembl:lncRNA
AGAUGGCCCAGGGUGUGAGUGGGCGUUAAGGCGUCUGGGAAGGGAUCUCAAAACUGGAUUAUAGAUGGUAGACAGUUGGUGUCGUAAGCCACCGCCUCUGCUCAAAGAUGGUCGCUCACAGUGGACAUAGAUGGCUUCUUUCACUCCUCUUUCAAACCAUCUGUCCUCUCUGUCCAAAAUGUGAAUUCUUGGCUUUUACUUUUCAAAUAACUUUCCCACUUUGUGUUUUGCUCCACAGGGAGAAGAAGGCAAGACUGGUUCACCAGGGAAGAGGGGUCAUGUUGGAAGGAGGGGAAAAAGGGGAAAGGCUGGAGUCAGAGGGCCCAGGGGAGAGAGAGGACCAAAGGGUGAAAAGGGAGACACAGGACCGGUGGGGCUCCCUGGAUGGUCAGGACUCAUUGGAAUCCCCGGCUUACGUGGAGAGUCAGGUGAUCAAGGUCAAAGGGGUGAAAAGGGUGACAAAGGAGACAUGGGACUGCCUGGACUACCUGGAGUUGAUGGCAUGAAGGGUAUCCGUGGUCCUGUUGGAUUGCCUGGUCCAGAGGGUCCAAAAGGGGAACAGGGAAACAUUGGUCUGCCAGGGCCCAGGGGCAUGUCAGGGAUGCCAGGAUUGCCUGGUUUGUUUGGAUUAAAGGUAUGAAAUCAUCACCUCCAGCUCUCUUGUUCUUCUAUAUCAAACACUCUUCAGCUCUUACUCACCACUCUGUGAAGAAAAUGGCCUGUUCCCCCUUUUUUAAGUGACUCACAUAAUCAUAAAGAUGUCACACUUGGAAGUUGGCAGUCUAAUGUGAUCAUGCAGCAGUCUUUAUUUCCUUAUCGGUGUAUGUGAUAAU